UACAGACUCCUCAACUGUCUUGUGAUCAGGCUGCGGAGUUCACUAUUGUUCGACGAUUUUGAAGAUGAUAGUCAAGAUCUGGAGCCUUGAUAAAACAAUAAAGAAACUGGCAGUGGUUGCCACUUUCGACGCCAUAAAGAAAAAGGCCAUAGAGUUCGGUAUAUGCUGCAAUGGAGACAUCAAGGUACACAUGCUGGAUGG